rnacentral:tRNA from 1 species
UAGUAAUGAAGUAAAAUUUACAUUUAGUUUCGACCUAAAAUUAGAUUAAUUAAAUCCUUACUUUA